rnacentral:ncRNA from 2 species
UACGUAGGCCCCAAGCGUUAUCCGGAAUUACUGGGUGUAAAGCGUCUGUAGGCGGGAAAAUAAGUCUUCCAUGAAAGACCGGAGCUCAACUCCGUGUUUGUGGGAGAUACUGUUUUUCUAGAAUCGGGGAGAGGGAAGCGGAAUGGUAUGAGUAGGGGUGCAAUCCGUUGAUACAUAUCAGAACACCAAAAGCGAAGGCAGCUUCCUGGAACCGCAUUGACGCUGAGAGACGAAAGCGUGGGGAGCGAAAAGG